rnacentral:rRNA from 1 species
AGAGUUUGAUUCUGGCUCAGGAUGAACGCUGGCGGCGUGCAUAACACAUUCAAGUCGAACGGACUGAUUUGAUAGCUUGCUAUUGAUGAAAGUUAGUGGCGGACGGGUGAGUAACGCGUGAGCAACCUGCCCCUAUGUGCGGGAUAACGUUUGGAAACGGACGCUAAUACCGCAUAAUCCAAUGAAAUCGCAUGGUUUUAUUGGCAAAGAUUUAUUGCAUAGGGAUGGGCUCGCGUCCGAUUAGAUAGUUGGCGGGGCAACGGCCCACCAAGUCUGCGAUCGGUAGCCGGACUGAGAGGUUGAACGGCCACAUUGGAACUGAGAAACGGUCCAGACUCCUACGGGAGGCAGCAGUGGGGAAUAUUGGGCAAUGGGCGAAAGCCUGAACCCCCAGCGACGCCGCGUGAAGGAAGACGGUCUUCGGAUUGUAAACUUCUUUUAUGUAGGACGAAGAAAUGACGGUACUACAUGAAUAAGCCACGGCUAACUACGUGCCAGCAGCCGC